UCUCCGUAGGUGAACCUGCGGAGGGAUCAUUACCGAGCGAGGGCCUAAACCGCCCGACCUCCCACCCUUUGUGAUUAAUACCGCGUUGCCUCGGGGGAGUGCCGCCAGGCGCCCCCGGUGGACCACCAAUCAAACUCCGCGUCUCCUGCGUCGGUUUAUAUUGAUGAAUAUUAUCAAAACUUUCAACAACGGAUCUCUUGGUUCUGGCAUCGAUGAAGAACGCAGC
rnacentral:misc_RNA from 1 species